rnacentral:rRNA from 1 species
AACGAACGCUGGCGGCAUGCCUAACACAUGCAAGUCGAACGAAGCCUUCGGGCUUAGUGGCGCACGGGUGCGUAACGCGUGGGAAUCCGCCCCUUGCUUCGGAAUAACAGUUAGAAAUGACUGCUAAUACCGGAUGAAGUCUUCGGACCAAAGAUUUAUCGGCAAGGGAUGAGCCCGCGUAGGAUUAGGUAGUUGGUGGGGUAAAGGCCUACCAAGCCGACGAUCCUUAGCUGGUCUGAGAGGAUGAUCAGCCACACUGGGACUGAGACACGGCCCAGACUCCUACGGGAGGCAGCAGUGGGGAAUAUUGGACAAUGGACGCAAGUCUGAUCCAGCAAUGCCGCGUGAGUGAUGAAGGCCUUAGGGUUGUAAAGCUCUUUUACCAGGGAUGAUAAUGACAGUACCUGGAGAAUAAGCUCCGGCUAACUCCGUG